GCUUUAACUCCCGGUAGAGCAGGGGAUUGAAAAUCCCCGUGUCCUUGGUUCGAUUCCGAGUCCGGGCACCA
rnacentral:tRNA from 1 species